AAGAAGCCUUCCAAAGUUAAUGGAAAUUCACACUAAAGCCAUUAGUGUUCUAGUCUGUAAUUACUAAUCGAAUUUUGACCAAACCAGAGAGAUGACUGAAAUGUAGUUGAUGAGAGUAGUGUUCAUAAGACGCUUUGAUCGCUAUUGGCUACAUUCGCUGGCUAAUUGUCUACAAACCCAAAAUAGAUUUCAAAAAUAUCUACCAAAAAACUACAGAGCUACUAAAGAUCCGACGUUACUUUAUUUUGAGUUCUUGAAUCUUCUUCUUGGACUCAUGCCGGUUCUGCAAAUGCCUACAAAAGAAGAAGCCAGUAAGUAUUUGAUGACUAGAAUCUCAAUAGGGACUUAUUAAACAAGACUCAUGCUCUCUUCUUCCAGUUCAAUCGUCCAUAGGUUAUUUACAUAAUUGUGUGAGGACAACAAUAAGUUAAGAAAGUUUUGAGUCUAAAAGAGAAAAGUACCUUCUCAAGUGUUUGAUGUUGCAUCAAAUCUUGCAGAUAUAGAUUCGCGUCUUGAAAUUGUUUCUUUCAAGAGCUUCAUCUUAUUUUGAAACCCAAUCAGCUUCCCGUCAAGCAACUCUACUUUUUUCUUAAGGUUCACUUCAUACUCUUUAAUCCAGAGACUUCCAACUUCUUUUACUUGUCUCUCUAUUAGAACUCGUCUCAUCCCCUCUUCUUUUUCUUCUUUCAAUCUUAGCUUCUCGAUUUCAGCAGUGCUCAAUACUAAACCUCCAGUACCUUUAACAUCUAUGUAUAUCGGUUUAUCAAGCAAAGGGCAAACUUUCCUGUGCUUUCUACAUGCCUUCUGUGAUUCUUUUAAAGCUUUCUGGUACCAGGCUAAUACACUUGUCAUCAUACGAAGUUCAUUUUCAAGCUUAUAGAUCUCUACGUUCUUCUUGUGUAGCUCUUCAUAACUUUCUUUGUGCAAUUGCUGAAUUAUGUCUUCCCUCCUUUGCAGUUCAUUUUGCAACAUUUGUUCCCUCAUGUUCGAUUCUCCACAAGCUUGGUCUUUCUCGACAUAUGAUAACUUAGCCUUAUCUGCCAAGUGCUUAAUCUGCUCCAUGCAAAUGUCAAAAGGAACUGGCUUGUCAUCCCAAGAUGGUGUCUUCAACCUCUUAGUACUAGCAGGGUUAUCAAAAUGGUAUGAAAUAUCAUUCUCGUGACCAAACUCUCUCUUGUUAUCAUUCCCAAAAUGAGAACGACCUGGAACCAUAUGCAUGACAGCUCUAGGUGCCAGGAAAUCACAAGUAGAACUGCCAUGAACCUGUAGCCCAGAAUUAUAACCUAAUGUAGAUGUAUCUCCCAACAUCAGAUUUUCCUGGUGUAGUGUUUUACCGUUCCGAAACAAUAAAAACCCUCCUUCUUGCUUUUCUCCAUCUUUCUCAAUUUCAUCUUCAAGUAUCUCAUUCUCUCCCACUUUCCUAUGUCUUGUUCCGUUCUUUUCAUCUCCUACAGUAGCACAACCAACAUCACACCCCUGAAAAAAAUGUGAGCCAACAUGGCUGUCUCCAUUCCAUUUCAUCUCCUUCUUCCUUGGCUUCCUUAAGAUCCAUUGGUUGUUCCUUGUUUUCCUCAAGAUCAAUUGCUUGUUCCUCAUGAUAAAGCUCCAUCGUAGCAGCCAUUUCGGACACAAUCACUUGCCCAAGAUUCAGUUUGGUCGUACUUUCCUCCACACAGUUUUCUUUCUUUGAGUCAGUGGCUCCAUCAUCCAUUCCUAGAUUCAAAGCAGCAAUAUCAUCCUUUACCUUCAAAUCCCUCUCCUUAAACAGAUCUAUUUUCUGUGAUCUAAUGACCAUCUGCAAAUGCGACGCAUAGAAACAAUCCCCGAGUGGAGGCUCCGCUUUCAACUCUUUCUCAACCAUAAACCACAUCAGUCCAGCCCAGUCCAGCUUAUCCAAUUGCUUUUUCUUUAUACCUUUCAUCCAUUCCACCACUUCAUCUGGCAUCAUCCACGCAUCAUCACAAUGCAGUAGCAUCCAAUUAGAGAUAACAUCUUCAACAACACUGAUUGAUUCAUCUGAUUCCAGAAAUUCCUUAUCCUCAUCAAGAAUGACAACACGUUCUUUCUUAUUAGGCAACUUCAAAGAUCGAGCCAAAUCCGCACGACUAAGUUUAAUCCUAGACCCGUUUAUAUAGCUGCACUUACCUCCAGCACUAUAGGAAGCUAUAAGUUGAGCCACAAGAUCAUAAUCCAUAUCCUGAUCAAAUUCCAAAUGCACAAAAUCCCACAAUCCGAGAGUCUUUAAGAGACUCUCAUAACAAGCAAAAUCUAGGGUUUUUAAUGGCUUGAAAGGUACAAGCUUUAAUGUUUCAACAAGUACCUUGAGCUUCUUCUUAGACUUCUCUUCUUGCUGCUUACGUUUCUUAUCGUUACAUUUCUUCCGCUUUGGCCCACCACCGUGACAACUAAAAGAAAAGCUCAUGGCUUUUGAAUCCAGAAUAUCAAUCUCGUCUUCCUCACUCAACUGUUUCUGAUCACUACCGUUCUCCUGCGAUUUCCUCAUUUCGUCCGACACUGACUCUAAAAUUCUGAUUUUGUUCGGAACAGAAUGUGUCUCUGAAGCUUCAGAGACUUCUUCCUCCAAAGUAGCUUGCUUAAUCAGGUUUCUUAAAAUAGUUACUGUAUCUUGCUCUCGAGAUGCAAAAGGAUUCGCCGGAGGAUCCAUGACUGGGUUUUGUUUUCCGAUCUCCUCCUCUUUCAGAAAUUGAAAAGGUUAAGGAGCUAAAGAGUCUUUUUGUUUACUAAUUAACCAUAAUUAAUAUGCUCCGUCAUCAAAAACAGAGCAGCUAAAAACACUUCAUUAGAGGCCCAUAUGUAUAUGGGCCGGAGUUUAAUACGGCCCAAAUCAGUAUAACCGAGUUCAAUAACCGGUAAGAAUUAAAAUAUUUUACAUUAUUCACCCAAAUCUUUACAUUAAUCACAACAAACUCCAACAUCUAUUCGACUCUUUCAAAUUCACACUCUUCCUCCUCUUCGAAAUCUCCGAGUACAAAAUCGAUCAAUCUCUCGGAAAAUGAUCGUGUAUUCUCUCUCUCAGCCUCACUGCUUCCUAAUGAAUCUCUCUAUUUCUCCUCAUUACGGUUGCUGCUACUGCGGAGUUUGGUGGGGAGGUAUUAGAGACGGAGCUUUGGUGCGUGGCGAAGAACAACGUUGAGGAUUCAACACUUUAAACGGCCAUUGACUGGGCUUGUGGUCCCAGAGGAGCUGAUUGCGUCUAGAUUCAGCAAGGUGGAUCCUGCUACGAUCCAUUGGAUAUAGUGAAGAUGGCUUCGUAUGUAUUCAAUAACUAUUAUCUGAUGGAAUGGUCUCGCAGAUGAAGCUUGCAACUUUAGUAACAACGCAGCUGUUACUUCUCUCAAUCCUAGUAAGUUCACAUUUUCUUUCAGGAUCAAUGUCUAGCAGAUAGUUAUGACUUUUGCUAAUUGAAAAUGUUGAAAGUUUGAUGCUUUUUCUGCAAUUUUUCGUUUUCAGGUCAAGGAACAUGCAAGUUUCCUUCAAGUAAGGGAGUGAGCAAUGGAAGUAUCGCAGAUGCCACUUCAAUGCAGGGAGCAACUGCACCAGAAUUCUCAGAUUGAGCCGAGCAAGGCGGAUGUUUAGCAGCUGGUUGUCACCCUUCGUCAUUUUAGGCCACAUUGUGACAAUGACACUGAUUAUCCAACAGGUUUAGCUUCCGAUUGGUGAUUGAAGGUAACCCUUUUAUGAUCUCUCUUCUCCCUCAGUUUUAUGUAACUAAAAUGGUUCUGCAUCUUUUAUGGAGCCCUGAUAUGUACUGUCUACCACUGUGAAUAGUUAACUUGAAUGGCAUGAACUGCACCAGAUGUAUCUUUUGACUAACAUAUAUUUAGUGUUCCGUUACACAAAACUAUCUAAAACCAAAAACAGAGCAUGAUAUAGUAAAAAAGAAAGGAGGAUAUUGUAUAAAUUAAAGAUUAUCGAUAUGUGUAUAUGAUUUAUAUGCAUAAUAUGUAUCUAUAUGUCGACUCAAUGUCUCUCAAGAUCUGCCACACGAUCUUGGUCAGGACAAGAAUGGUUGAUCCUGUUCGAAGAUCUUUCCCUCGUCAAGAUUUUCCUAAACGAAUUUAAUCGCGAAGCCGGGGAUACAACUGUUUUGUUAUCUGAGGAAGAAGAGGAUGCGGCUUCUACAGUCAAGUUCAGCCUGGUUUCCACCAACAACUGCGGUGCAGUACCGACUGGUCCUUCCCUUGGCUCAGGCUCAAGUCUCGGUCUUGGCUCAACUUCAGUCCGACAAACAGGACAAGUGGAGCAAGUGGUGAGCCACGUGUCAACACAGUCGACGUGGAAGAUGUGCUUGCAGUUGGGCAACUCUCUCGCCUUGUCUUGCUCCUUUAACACGCUUAGACACACUGCGCAUUCAGUAGCGGAGGCAGCCACGCCAUCAGUGGCUCCAACAGUGAAAGUAGGGAGAGAAGCGAUGACUGUGGGAUUGAGGCCACGCUUAGGCAUCUCAAAAGGGUGGCGGAAAAUGACGGGGAGGCCACGGAAAGCUUCUCUACGGCGUCGGAGAACGAAUCUUGCGUAAAGAUGAAGAGCGAAGACGAUGAGGAUAACUCCAGAUAAAGAAGCCACUGCGGCAAGCAUGAUCUUGCUGUUAAGAUCGUAAGUAGACGGAUUAGGCCAGAAUGAGUGGUGGUCAGAGUUGAACCUGCGAUGAUCUCUGUCGUUGGAGCUCAUUGUGAAGCUGGUUUUUCUUCGGUGGAUGCAAAAGAAAAGUGAACAAAAGAGUUUACUAACUUAUGAUUUAUUAUAUAAGGAAUAAAGGACUUAUAGAAUUUCUUAUUUUGAUUGUUUUUCCAAGGCUUAUACUUUAGUUGGUGGGUGGAGAAAAAUGUGAAGUAGAUAGAAUUAGAAACUUUGGGAGAUAGGUAGACUUUCACGAGGGUUUAGAAAUUUCACCAUUGUUGACUAAAUGGUAGAUUGUAGAUUAUUUAUAGGUGAUAGGUUUGAAGAUUAUAGACUG
rnacentral:lncRNA from 1 species